AACGAACGCUGGCGGCAGGCCUAACACAUGCAAGUCGAACGCAUCGCAAGAUGAGUGGCGCACGGGUGAGUAACACGUGGGAAUGUACCCUUUGAUUCGGAAUAACGUCUGGAAACGGACGCUAAUACCGGAUGAGCCCUGUGGGGGAAAGAUUUAUCGCCAAAGGAGCAGCCCGCGUCUGAUUAGCUAGUUGGUGGGGUAAAGGCCUACCAAGGCGACGAUCAGUAGCUGGUCUGAGAGGAUGAUCAGCCACACUGGGACUGAGACACGGCCCAGACUCCUACGGGAGGCAGCAGUGGGGAAUAUUGGACAAUGGGCGGAAGCCUGAUCCAGCCAUGCCGCGUGAGUGAUGAAGGCCUUCGGGUUGUAAAGCUCUUUCGCACGCGACGAUGAUGACGGUAGCGUGAGAAGAAGCCCCGGCUAACUUCGUGCCAGCAGCCGCGGUAACAC
rnacentral:rRNA from 1 species